UUCGGAGGGGGCAAGCGUUAUUCGGAAUUAUUGGGCGGAAAGGGCGCGUAGGCGGCUAGAUGGGUCAAAGGUGAAAUCCCUCGGCUCAACUGAGGAACUGCCUUUGAAACUGUCUGGCUUGAGGCCGGGAGAGGGUAGCGGAAUUCCCAGUGUAGCGGUGAAAUGCGUAGAUAUUGGGAGGAACACCAGUGGCGAAGGCGGCUACCUGGACCGGUUCUGACGCUGAGGCGCGAAAGCGUGGGGAGCAAACAGG
rnacentral:rRNA from 1 species